CGGCGGACGGGUGAGUAACGCGUGGGUAACCUGCCUCAUACAGGGGGAUAACAGUUAGAAAUGACUGCUAAUACCGCAUAAGACCACAAGGUCGCAUGACCAGGUGGUAAAAACUACCGGUGGUAUGAGAUGGACCCGCGUCUGAUUAGCUAGUUGGUGGGGUAACGGCCUACCAAGGCGACGAUCAGUAGCCGACCUGAGAGGGUGACCGGCCACAUUGGGACUGAGACACGGCCCAA
rnacentral:rRNA from 1 species